ensembl:Mt_tRNA
AAGAUAUUAGUAAAACCAUUACUCAUCCUUGUCAAGGACGAAUCAUUAGUUAAAACCUAAUAUAUCUUA